GAUGAACGCUGGCGGCGUGCCUAAUACAUGCAAGUCGAGCGAACGGACGAGAAGCUUGCUUCUCUGAUGUUAGCGGCGGACGGGUGAGUAACACGUGGAUAACCUACCUAUAAGACUGGGAUAACUUCGGGAAACCGGAGCUAAUACCGGAUAAUAUUUUGAACCGCAUGGUUAAAAAGUGAAAGACGGUCUUGCUGUCACUUAUAGAUGGAUCCGCGCUGCAUUAGCUAGUUGGUAAGGUAACGGCUUACAAAGGCAACGAGGCAUAGCAGACCUGAGAGGGUGAUCGGCCACACUGGAACUGGGGCACGGUCCAGACUCCUACGGGAGGCAGCAGUAGGGAAUCUUCCGCAAUGGGAGAAAGCCUGACGGAGCAACGCCGCGUGAGUGAUGAAGGUAUUCGGAUCGUAAAACUCUGUUAUUAGGGAAGAACAUAUGUGUAAGUAACUGUGCACAUCUUGACGGUACCUAAUCAGAAAGCCACGGCUAACUACGUG
rnacentral:rRNA from 1 species